GAUGAACGCUGGCGGCGUGCCUUAUACAUGCAAGUCGAGCGAAGCGGGGACGGGUGAGUAACACGUGGAUAACCUCCUAUAAGACUGGGAUAAAUUCGGGAAACCGGUGCUAAAUCGGAUACUUCUAGAUGGAACCGCGCUGCAUUAGCUAGUUGGUAAGGUAACGGCUUACCAAGGCAACGAUGCGUAGCCGGUCUGAGAGGACGAUCGGCCACACUGGAACUGAGACACGGUCCAGACUCCUACGUGAGGCAGCAGUAGGGAAUCUUCCACAAUGGGCGAAAGCCUGAUGGAGCAAUGCCGCGUGAGUGAUGAAGGUCUUCGGAUCGUAAAACUCUGUUAUUAGGGAAGCGGUACCUAAUCAGAAAGCCACGGCUAACUACGUGCCAGCAGCCGCGGUAAUAC
rnacentral:rRNA from 1 species